ncrna:Malus domestica miR7122a stem-loop (mdm-MIR7122a, mdm-MIR7122b)
GGGUUCAUUCCAUUCUUUUAUACAGAGAAAUCACGGUCGAGAUCAAAACUCAGAAGUCUGUCAGAUUCUCUCUCUCCGUCGUCUCAACCGUGUUUUUCUGUAUAAAGAGAUGUACUGGAUCC